rnacentral:lncRNA from 1 species
CCUGAGUACUUAUUGAGGCACGGUCUCCCUUAUGUUCCAUAGCAUACAACAAGCUAAGCAACCAAGUCACAUUAUGAGGGAGUUGCUUAGUGAUAAAAUCGUCGAGUAUACCAAACAACCACUUCUUUUUUAGAAGGUACUUGGAAUGUUAAGCAAUAAAUACACCAAAUUAAAGCCUAUAAGAUCGUUCCAUAGCAUACAACAAGCUAAGCAACCAAGUCACAUUAUGAGGGAGUUGCUUAGUGAUAAAAUCGUCGAGUAUACCAAACAACCACUUCUUUUUUAGAAGGUACUUGGAAUGGGUCAGAAGCUCUCUGAACCUUGAUUCAACCAUCUGCACAAUAUUAACAGAGUAAAAUUUAGAGCUUGCAAUAAUAAUAAUGUAUAAACUGUAAGCUGAAGAAAAGUAAAUAAGUCACACAUUUCCUUUUAAGAUUGAAAGCUCAUCACAUGCCCCAUAUUAAAGCCUAAAACCAAUAAAACUGUGGAACACACAAAAACAUGCACAAGUUGUGUAUUUUGGGUUUGCU